GUGCUUGCUUCAGCAGCACAUAUACAAAAACUGCAACGAUACCAAGAAGAUUAGCAUGACCCCUGCACAAGGAUGACAGACAAAUUCGUAGAGCAUUAAAAUUAA
ensembl:snRNA U6 U6 spliceosomal RNA